UACGUAGGGUGCAAGCGUUGUCCGGAAUUAUUGGGCGUAAAGAGCUCGUAGGCGGUUUGUCGCGUCUGCUGUGAAAACGCGGGGCUCAACUCCGCGCCUGCAGUGGGUACGGGCAGACUAGAGUGCAGUAGGGGAGACUGGAAUUCCUGGUGUAGCGGUGGAAUGCGCAGAUAUCAGGAGGAACACCGGUGGCGAAGGCGGGUUGCUGGGCUGACACUGACGCUGGAGGCGCGAAAGCUAGGGGAGCGAACGGG
rnacentral:rRNA from 1 species